AGAUUGAACGCUGGCGGCAUGCCUUACACAUGCAAGUCGAACGGCAGCACGGGGGCAACCCUGGUGGCGAGUGGCGAACGGGUGAGUAAUGCAUCGGAACGUGCCCAGUAGUGGGGGAUAACUAGUCGAAAGAUUAGCUAAUACCGCAUACGACCUACGGGUGAAAGCGGGGGAUUCGCAAGAACCUCGCGCUAUCGGAGCGGCCGAUGUCUGAUUAGCUAGUUGGCGGGUAAAGCCCACAAGGCUUCGAUCAGUAGCUGGUCUGAGAGGACGACCAGCCACACUGGGACUGANA
rnacentral:rRNA from 1 species